rnacentral:rRNA from 1 species
GCAUAUCAAUAAGCGAGGAAAAGAAACCAACAGGGAUUGCCCUAGUAACGGCGAGUGGAAGCGGCAACAGCUCAAAUUUGAAAUCUGGGCCCUCGUGGUCCGAGUUGUAAUUUGUAGAGGAUGCUUUUGGUGCGGUGCCUUCCGAGUUUCCCUGGAACGGGACGCCAGAGAGGGUGAGAGCCCCGUACGGUUGGACACCUACCCCUAUAUAUAGCUCCUUCGACGAGUCGAGUAGUUUGGGAAUGCUGCUCUAAAUGGGAGGUAAAUUUCUUCUAAAGCUAAAUACCGGCCAGAGACCGAUAGCGCACAAGUAGAGUGAUCGAAAGAUGAAAAGCACUUUGAAAAGAGGGUUAAAUAGCACGUGAAAUUGUUGAAAGGGAAGCGUUUGCGACCAGACUUUUUCCAGGCGGAUCAUCCGGUGUUCUCACCGGUGCACUUCGCCUGGUUUAGGCCAGCAUCGGUUCUCUUAGGGGGAUAAAGGCUUGGGGAACGUAGCUCCUUCGGGAGUGUUAUAGCCCCUUGCGUAAUACCCUUCGGGGGACCGAGGAUCGCGCUCUGCAAGGAUGCUGGCGUAAUGGUCGUCAACGACCCGUCUUGAAACACGGACCAAGGAGUCGAACAUUUGUGCGAGUGUUUGGGUGUUAAACCCUCACGCGUAAUGAAAGUGAACGGAGGUGAGAGCCCUUACGGGUGCAUCAUCGACCGAUCCUGAUGUCUUCGGAUGGAUUUGAGUAAGAGCAUAACUGUUCGGACCCGAAAGAUGGUGAACUAUGCGUGGAUAGGGUGAAGCCAGAGGAAACUCUGGUGGAGGCUCGCAGCGGUUCUGACGUGCAAAUCGAUCGUCAAAUCUGCGCAUGGGGGGCGAAAGACUUAUCGAAACCAUCUAGUAGCUGGGUUACCGCCCGAAAG